rnacentral:ncRNA from 1 species
GAUCACCAACUAAGGCCCCUAAAUGACCGCUCAGUGAUAAAGGAGGUAGGGGUGCAGAGACAGCCAGGAGGUUUGCUUAGAAGCAGCCACCCUUGAAAGAGUGCGUAAUAGCUCACUGAUCGAGCGCUCUUGCGCCGAAGAUGAACGGGGCUAAGCGAUCCACCUUAGGGGGAAGUCUAGUACAUUUAACCAAUAAUUCAUGUGUACUUCUAUACAAACAUAAAACAAAGAGUAAUCACCAACAUUUAGAAAGAAAUAAGAAAGAAUCGAGUGGAGAAUACAAUUCCUAGACAACUCGACU